AACGAACGCUGGCGGCAGGCUUAUCACAUGCAAGUCGAGCGCCCCGCAAGGGGAGCGGCAGACGGGUGAGUAACGCGUGGGAAUCUACCCAUCUCUACGGAAUAACGCAUGGAAACGUGUGCUAAUACCGUAUACGUCCUUCGGGAGAAAGAUUUAUCGGAGAUGGAUGAGCCCGCGUUGGAUUAGCUAGUUGGUGGGGUAAAGGCCUACCAAGGCGACGACCCAUAGCUGGUCUGAGAGGAUGAUCAGCCACACUGGGACUGAGACACGGCCCAGACUCCUACGGGAGGCAGCAGUGGGGAAUAUUGGACAAUGGGCGCAAGCCUGAUCCAGCCAUGCCGCGUGAGUGAUGAAGGCCCUAGGGUUGUAAAGCUCUUUCACCGGUGAAGAUAAUGACGGUAACCGGAGAAGAAGCCCCGGCUAACUUCGUGCCAGCAGCCGCCGUAACAC
rnacentral:rRNA from 1 species